GGAGUAGUAGCUCAAGGGAUAGAGCGCAUUAUAAGUAGCUUUUAAAUUAUCUGCUGAAGGUCAAUAAAGGCUUACUUCUAACGAUAUUAUGAUGAUGAGGUUAUUGGUUCGAAUCCAAUCUACUCCG
rnacentral:tRNA from 1 species